rnacentral:lncRNA from 1 species
CUGCGGCGAUGUGUCCCCGCGCCGUCUCCCACCUCCUCCGGGUCCCCUCGGCCGUGCCAGGCUGUACCGGGGGCUGUACCGGGGGCUGUACCGGGCAGAGCCCGGGGGGCAGCGGGCGCAACCUCCCCCCCUCGCCCCCAUCAAGGACAGACCCGGCUCCACUUUCAAUCCCUUUUAUUAACUCUUUCACAGACAGAAGCUCGCAGAAAGGCGCCCGCGGCUCUCGCCGGUCCCGGGGCUCCCGAAGACCGGAGUUUGGGGGGGGACGGGGACGGGGGGACGGUGGCGGCCACUCCUCGCCUCCCGGGGCCGGGACCCCCCCCACCCCCCCCCGCCCGCCCGCCAGCAGCACGGGCGCGUCUACGGCACAGACACUUGGCUACAAGGCUACUCUACCCAACACACAUCGAGGGGUCCCACCGGGCCGGGGGGGGUCGGGAUGGGACCGGGGAGGGGGGGGUCGGGCCGUCCCCGUCCCCCCCCCCGGGGAGCGGGCGGGGGGCGCGGGGCUGUCCAGCCCCUCCGGGUGCUGACCGGUUCCGCGGGGAGCGCACCGGGGAGCGCACCGGGGAGCGCACCGGUACCCACCGGGCAGCAGGAGGGCUCGCACCCCGGCACCCAUCGGUGCGCUGUGGGAACCCACCGGGGAGCGGCUGGGACCCACCGGGAAGAGGCGCGGAGAGGGGAACGGGGAGGAUAACGGCGAGGAGCGGUGGGGACAGCACCGGGCUGCAGUGGGGUUCGCACCGGGGCUCGGACCGGGGACGGCUAGGACCGGACCGGGGAGCGGAGGGGACUCACCGGGGACUGAACCGUUUCCAGAAAAAAAAAAAAAAGGUUUUGGGAUGUCGGGCUUUUUUCUUUUACCCUUUUUUUCCCUUUUUUUCGUUUUUUUCCUUUAAGGGGGAAGAAAAUACGGGGCGAACGGAGGGCAGAGGCGGGCGGAGGACCGGCAAUCGUUGUGAUGGUGUCGCCGAGCCGGGAGCGAUGGACGGCCGGUACCCAAAACGGAAACGAAAUCGUGGGAGAAACGUCCCGCCCGCAUCGAGCAUCCCCGGGGCGAAGUCCCUUCCCCGGGGACCUGCCGCCUGA